UGUCCCGCUGGCGAAACUGGCAGACGCGCUGGUCUCAGGAACCAGUGCCCACGGGCGUCCGGGUUCGACUCCCGGGCGGGACACCC
rnacentral:tRNA from 1 species